UCCCCGCCCCCGUCGAGGGUCCCCAGGGAUCAGGACUUGCUCCCAAAGUCGCCUGGCCCCAGCUCCCGCGAAGGCAGGAGGGUUUUGGAAGCAGCCGCUGGUGGGGGUCUCUCUCCUGACAGCUGCAGGGACUGGCCCCCUCCCCACCCACCGCCGGCGCAGCCAGAAGCAGCCACGCAGACGUGCGACCCCCCACAAACCGCCUCGGGACGAGGUUCUGCCGCGCCCGUGGGCCACAGUGUCCACGCGGGGCUUGUGCCGGUGUCGCCUCCCAUGAAGACACCCGGAGGGUCCCGUCUGCGGCGCGUGAGGGCAGCGGUCCCGGAGAGCCAGACCCCGGCCAGGGAGAGCUGCCCGCGA
rnacentral:lncRNA from 1 species